rnacentral:lncRNA from 1 species
GCUAAGGGUUCAGACCCUGUGACAAUGUACAGUGCAAUAUAUCAGCCAUCAAGCUUCAGCAGACUUCGUUCAGAGGGUGGGUGCUAUUUUUAAGUUGUGCCUCCUGUAGGUAAUUGCUGAGUUAGAGAACAUUUUACUCUGAGCAUCUGUGGGAUUGCUGCUUGUGAUGGUUUAUAUAUGCUAGGCCCAGGGGGUGGCACUAUUAGAAGGUGUGACCCUGUUAGAGUAGGUGUAGCCUUGUUGGAGUUGUGUGUCACUGUGGGUGUGGGCUUUGAGACCUUCAUCCUAGCUGCCGGGAAGCCAGUACUCUGCUAUCAGCCUUCAAAUGAAGAUGUAGAGCUCUCAGCUCUGCCUGCCAUGCCUGCCUAGAUGCUGUCAUGCGCCCACCUUGAUGGUAAUGGACUGAACUUCUGAACCUAGAUGUAAAAUUAUUAUAAACUUUGAAGGACUCAUCCAACAUUGAUUGCUCUUGAAAACUCUCUAACCAAAAAUGUGGUAUGUACAACCAUUCACGGCUUGCCCAGAAAAUAGCACCACAGUCAACAAAGGUACUGAAGCGAGAUUACAGCAUAGGCAUCCUUUUCUCUCCUACAUCAGCUCCAGAAAAGCCAGAAAUAAUGGUCUCUGAAGUUUGUGACAGCUUAGUAC